rnacentral:rRNA from 1 species
UAGGGAAUCUUCGGCAAUGGGGGGAACCCUGACCGAGCAACGCCGCGUGAGUGAAGAAGGUUUUCGGAUCGUAAAGCUCUGUUGUUAAGGAAGAACGAGUGUGAGAAUGGAAAGUUCAUGCUGUGACGGUACUUAACCAGAAAGGGACGGCUAACUACGUGCCAGCAGCCGCGGUAAUACGUAGGUCCCGAGCGUUGUCCGGAUUUAUUGGGCGUAAAGCGAGCGCAGGCGGUUAGAAAAGUCUGAAGUGAAAGGCAGUGGCUCAACCAUUGUAGGCUUUGGAAACUGUUUAACUGGAGUGCAGAAGGGGAGAGUGGAAUUCCAUGUGUAGCGGUGAAAUGCGUAGAUAGAUGGAGGAACACCGGUGGCGAAAGCGGCUCUCUGGUCUGUAACUGACGCUGAGGCUCGAAAGCGUGGGGAGCGAACAGG